UACGUAAGGUCCGAGCGUUGUCCGGAAUCAUUGGGCGUAAAGGGUACGUAGGCGGAUAAGCAAGUUAGAAGUGAAAUCCUAUAGCUCAACUAUAGUAAGCUUUUAAAACUGCUAGACUUGAGAGAUUGAGGGGAAAGUGGAAUUCCUAGUGUAGCGGUGAAAUGCACAGAUAUUAGGAGGAAUACCAGUGGCGAAGGCGACUUUCUGGCAAUCAUCAGACGCUGAGGUACGAAAGCGUGGGUAGCAAACAGG
rnacentral:rRNA from 1 species